UUGCUUUUCUGAUCUAGUGGCGGACGGGUGAGUAACACGUGAGCAAUCUGCCUUUCAGAGGGGGAUACCGAUUGGAAACGAUCGUUAAUACCGCAUAACAUAAUUGAACCGCAUGAUUUGAUUAUCAAAGAUUUAUCGCUGAAAGAUGAGCUCGCGUCUGAUUAGCUAGUUGGUAAGGUAACGGCUUACCAAGGCGACGAUCAGUAGCCGGACUGAGAGGUUGAUCGGCCACAUUGGGACUGAGACACGGCCCAGACUCC
rnacentral:rRNA from 1 species